GUCCCUGUAGUCUAGUCCGGUCCAGGAUAUCGGCCUCUCGAGCCGAAGACCCGGGGUCAUUCCUUCUUUCCCAGAAAGAAGGUCUGACAACUCCAAGAAAGGGGUUUUGCCGCUUUCGCGGGAAUAUCACCGCGAAAUUGGCUAGGGUAUUCAAAUCCCGGCAGGGACA
rnacentral:tRNA from 1 species